rnacentral:misc_RNA from 1 species
AAAAAAAAAAAAAAAAAGGUAAAAGGUUACAGCAAUUCUUUUCCCUACCAUUCAAGAAACCUGAGAUGCAAAACUACUAAACUGCCCUGGGUAAGCAUGAUUAAAGUCAGUGAGAUGAAUUGUUUUUGUUACAGUACUGAACCAUGGAAAAGAAAUAUCAUUGACAAAGAAACUGAAGAUAGGAAAUUACUUCCAAUCAUAAGUCAGUAACUCAACCACCUGAUCAAGAUGCUCAUUGGUUUUGGCCCCAAUGUUAAUUAAAUCGUGCAGAUUUGAUGGCUGAUGCAUGCAUGGAUGAGCUCAUGUGAUCCUAAAACUAGGAAGUAGUCAAGUAGCUUUUACAAGGUCCUAGAAAUGGUCAUUUUUCAUCUCUUUUUGGUUCAAGGUAGAAGAAAGCAUGGGCUUAUAACCCCUGACCACCACAAUUAAAAGAUAGGUUCUUGAUUCCUCACCUGCUAGCCCAAGGCAGGUCUUCAUUCAGGCUAAAAUUGAAAUAAAGGUGCCAUGAGUGUAAGAAAACUUGGAAAAUUCCAAGGAUUAAGAAAACUUGGAAAAUUCCAAGGAUUUUUGAGACAGAAACUCCACAACACAAAACAGACUUGAGAUGUGUGCAAAUCCUACUGUUAAGGUGACAUCUACAUUGGCAAUGGGACAUUAACAACAAAGUUGAAUAGCUGAGGUCAAACUGAAGGUCGAUUAAUAGAGUCCAAAUAAGUGAUCAGAAUGGAUGAUGACAAUUAUAAAUGAGAAUCAUGCGACAGGUAUUGGAAAAGAAAAAGGGAGCUUGCUGCAUGAAAUCAACAAAAGUAGAAUACAAAGCUGUGAACAGAAAGUGAUAUAAGAUGGACCGUUGACCCAGCAAUGACAACUAAGAAGUUCAGAAAAGCAUAUAUGAUGAAUAAAUUUGAAGAAUCAACAGCAAAUUAACUUCUAUUUUCAGAGAUACUUGAGCCAGUCAUUCACAAGAAUAUAACAGAGGAAAAAAAUGUAAACUGGGUUAUUAUCAUCCUCAAGUUUAUAUUGGUCUUUAGUCAUUUCUGAAUGACAAAAUCACCAUCAACUUUGAUAUGAAGGCUUGAAUGAGUCAAAAUGGUAUCAAAGUACUGAUUGUUUGUUAUGAGCCACAUGAAUGAUCAUAAACCUCACCAAUCCCACAUAGCUAGAUUUUCUGCUAUUUUAUUGAAGGAAAACACUAUAAACUCAUCGACCUUUUUGUUAAUUAUGACAUCAUGAAGCUUAGUCUUUGACUUAACAAAUAAAAAUUAGGUUGCUUAUAUUUAAGUCGGAUUGUUUAGAGGUUAUGACAAGCAAUUAACCACUAACCAACACAAUUUUCAAUAGAAAGCCAAUUCUUGCUCAAUUUUCAAUUCAGUAGAACACAAAUUAUCACCACAUGACAAUGUCAAUCACAAAAUAUUUUGUUAAAAAUACGGAAAUGAGAAUUUCUAAGCCGAUAGGAUCAUAGGAGUAACUCUGUAAAAGUAAGAUCCGUGGCUAACUAAACAAGCAAUACUUUUUUUCAAGGCCCAUUGCUAACAAAAACAGCCUAUGCUCUCAAAGUUGGUAUUAUCGGUUAUGAACAAAAAUCACUUCUAAAACAUCAGCAACAGUCUCCUCAAAUACUAAUCAAAAAUUAAACGGUAGACUAGUUAAUAACACAACAUGAUAAACCUCGCAAAAAUUGCAAAACAACAACAAAAUGCGCAAAAGAAACAACAAUAAGCAUUCACCAACCACUUAAUGCAAACAUCAAUUCCUUGGACCCAUAAGCAAUUUUCACUUCAAGAUCAUUCAACAAUCAUAUAAACUCAGAAUCAGAAAUACCUAUAAGCCCAAUCAUUGAGUU